rnacentral:rRNA from 1 species
UACGAAGGGUGCAAACGUUGCUCGGAAUUAUUGGGCGUAAAGCGCACGUAGGCGGCAUUGCAAGUCGGAUGUGAAAUCCCUCGGCUUAACCAAGGAAGUGCAUCCGAAACUGCAGUGCUUGAGUACUUAAGAGGAUCGCGGAAUUCCCGGUGUAGAGGUGAAAUUCGUAGAUAUCGGGAGGAACACCAGUGGCGAAGGCGGCGAUCUGGGAAGAUACUGACGCUGAGGUGCGAAAUCGUGGGGAGCAAACAGG